GACGAACGCUGGCGGCGCGCCUAACACAUGCAAGUCGAACGGAAAGGACCGGCUUUUGCGGGUUUCUCGAUUGUCGAACGCGUGAGAGACACGCGAGUAUCCUGUCCUCGACUUUGGGAUAACUUCAUGAAACUGGGCCUAAUACCCCGUAUGAGCUCCUGCUUCCUGGUGGGGGUUGGAAAGAUUGGGUGGUUCGGGAUGGACUCGACUCUCAUCAGCUUGUUUGUGUGGUAGUGUCAUACCAAGGCAUUGCCGGGUAGCCGGGCUGAGAUGGUGACCUGACCCAUUGGGACUGAGCUGCGGCACGGACUCCUACGGGAGGCAGCAGUGGGGAAUAUUGUACAGUGGGAGGAAGCCUGCUGCAGCGACGCCGCGUGCGGUAUGACGGGAUUCGGGUUGUAUUGCGCUUUCGCCUGUGAAGAGGCGUGAGUGACGGUAAUGGGUAAAAAAGCACCGGCUAACUACGUG
rnacentral:rRNA from 1 species